ensembl:lncRNA LINC02359 long intergenic non-protein coding RNA 2359
ACAGUACAUCACCUUCAUGAGCGCAUCAGUGAACACCAGUCUAAGGAAGACAUCUCUGAACGUAAUUUUGGAGAUUUUGAUGAGUUCCAUUGAAACAAGGAGGAAUGUGAUGUCCAGUAUCAGUUCUGCAGACCCAAGGACAAAGAAAAUUCUGUGAUAAACUCAUCCAGUGUGACUGUAAUGUGGGUAUCUAUUUGAUACCUCCAAGUAACUGUUUAUUCUUGUGCCAGUUGAGUAGAUGGUACGGGCCAGUUGGUGUUGAUUAGUGAACCACGGACAAAGGGCAUAUGUCACAUGAGUUGCUCCUGGAUAAAGUCACCCAGUCACUUCCUGAUGAAUAUCCUGCAUAAACUCCAAAGACAAAAGAGAGUUAAGGUUGUUUUUCUCACCUUAGACCAGGCAGUGAUAGAAGAACUGGGGGAAGAGAUAAUUGUAUUUAUCUUGGUGAGGGUGACAAAUCAUGGCAAAUGAGCAAAAUGAAAAAGGUUUGCAGAUUUCAACAAACUUCUAAAAGAUCAGCUUACAGUCAUGUAUACAUCUCUUCCUUUGUUUCUAGUUUAUUUGCAUCUCAUUACUAUGUUCUCGGUUUAGGAUACAAGACACCGGACUUUCAAAUCAACAAUUGUUUCAAAAGACUCCUACUGGAUUCCUGCUAGUGAUGGGAGAAAAUUAUCAUUCUGCUAGUUAAUCUGUAGCCAGAGAUGAUUAAGGAGGUCAUUAAAGGAAAACAAGCUGCCCACCAUGCUGAUGCCUGGUUGUUCAGAUCGUUGAGGUGGUGUAGAGAUGACGCACACUGGCUCAGUUUACCCACAUUUGGAUCUACGGACCUGCAAGUGUAUGAGCAUAAAACAUUGCAC